GAUGGGAGGAGAUGAAUCGAAAAAACAAACAUAACAAAAUUGCUUGCCACGAGGUCUGUUCAGUCUCGAAUGAUUCUGGCAUUUCUAUUAUGUUAAGUGUAGUUUCAUUUUUAUUUCUACUCUUGAUGCAUGUAAAAUUUUAAA
rnacentral:ribozyme from 12 species